AACGAACGCUGGCGGCAGGCUUAACACAUGCAAGUCGAACGCAUCCUUCGGGGUGAGUGGCAGACGGGUGAGUAACGCGUGGGAACGUGCCCUUCAGUUCGGGAUAACCCAGGGAAACUUGGGCUAAUACCGGAUACGUGCAAGAGCAGAAAGAUUUAUCGCUGAAGGAUCGGCCCGCGGCUGAUUAGCUAGUUGGUGGGGUAAUGGCCCACCAAGGCGACGAACAGUAGCUGGUCUGAGAGGAUGAUCAGCCAAAUUGGGACUGAGACACGGCCCAAACUCCUACGGGAGGCAGCAGUGGGGAAUAUUGGACAAUGGGCGCAAGCCUGAUCCAGCCAUGCCGCGUGAGUGAUGAAGGCCUUAGGGUCGUAAAGCUCUUUCGUCCGGGACGAUAAUGACGGUACCGGAAGAAGAAGCCCCGGCUAACUUCGUGCCAGCAGCCGCCGUAA
rnacentral:rRNA from 1 species